UUCCAGACUCCUACGGGAGGCAGCAGUGGGGAAUCUUCCGCAAUGGGCGAAAGCCUGACGGAGCAACGCCGCGUGAUCGAAUGAAGGCCUUCGGGUUGUAAAGAUCUGUUGACAGGGACGAAUAAGCCAUGCGAAUAGUUUGGUGUAUGACGGUACCUGUUUAGAAAGCUCCGGCUAACUACGUGCCAGCAGCCGCGGUAAUACGGGGGGUGCAAGCGUUGUCCGGAAUCAUUGGGCGUAAAGCGUUCGUAGGCGGUAAAGUAAGUCAGAUGUUAAAGCCCGGGGCUCAACUCCGGUUCGGCAUUUGAUACUACUUAACUAGAAUGCGGUAGAGGUAAAGGGAAUUCCUGGUGUAGCGGUGAAAUGCGUAGAUAUCAGGAGGAACAUCGGUGGCGAAAGCGCUUUACUGGGCCGUUAUUGACGCUGAGGAACGAAAGCCGGGGGAGCAAAUGGGAUUAGAUACCCCGGUAGC
rnacentral:rRNA from 1 species